rnacentral:rRNA from 1 species
ACUCCUACGGGAGGCAGCAGUGGGGAAUAUUGGGCAAUGGGGGAAACCCUGACGCAGCGACGCCGCGUGAGCGAAGAAGGCCUUAGGGUUGUAAAGCUCUGUUUUAGGGGACGAAUGUUCAUAGGAGUAAUAUGCCUGUGAAAUGACGGUACCCUAAGAGGAAGCCCCGGCUAACUACGUGCCAGCAGCCGCGGUAAU